UUUUAAACAUAAUUUCCCUGUCGCCGCCACCACAAAGAAAGUAGGAUUUUUAUACAAAGAGAUUAUUCAACAGUGAUUACGAGACAAUGAAUCACAUGUCAUGUAUGUUCUCAAUGGAUGAUGUAAUUAACGUCAUGGAGUCACAUGGUUUGGCGAUGUCUCUUGUUCAAAAAAGAGUGAACCAACUUCUAGCUGUGGAAAAGAAGAUGAUGCUUUAUGGCGAACCAUUAGUUCUCAAGGAAGAUCUUAUCGCUAGUUGCAAGAGUCUGAGUUUGGUGGGAAGUUGGUGAUAAGUUAUCUUCUUUUAGCGAGGUUCGAUGUUUUGAGGAAAUACUAAUCUAUUUUAUAUUUCUUUAUAUAUUCUAAUAUCAUAUUUGUCUUUUGAAUUAAACAG